rnacentral:sRNA from 1 species
CAUCAGAACUCGGGUCAUCUGCGGAGCCUUGGCUGCGGCCCGGUACCUGGGUGUGACUCCGCCACUAACAUUUUCCCAGCAGGAAGCAGCAAGCUCAGCACAGAAAUAAAACUGUCCUGGUGAGUCGCUCACAGCCUGUCCCAGUAACUGUUCCGGAGCGUCAGCCUGACGCAGCACCCCUGAAGGACCACGCCGUGCGGGCUGCGAGCCUCGCCCUUAACCAUGCCCAGCAGGACCAGAGCCGCCAGCACAAAUCAAGGUCCUGGCCAUUGAACAACUUCUGAGCCUGCACUUUAAGAAGGCGCUCUUGUUUUGAAUACGUAGUCUGUCCUGUUCUUUCAAAAAUCUGUACCAGAACAGGUUUUUAGGCCUGGCCGCCAUGGCGUCUCCUUCUAGAAACUCCCAGAGCCGACGCCGGUGCAAGGAGCCGCUCCGAUACAGCUACAACCCCGACCAGUUCCACAACAUGGACCUCAGGGGCGGCCCCCACGAUGGCGUCACCAUUCCCCGCUCCACCAGCGACACUGACCUGGUCACCUCGGACAGUCGCUCCACGCUCAUGGUCAGCAGCUCC